rnacentral:rRNA from 1 species
CGACGACGCAACGCCGCGUGGAGGAUGAAGACCUUCGGGUCGUAAACUCCUUUCGACCGAGAUGAACACCUGUCGACCUAACAUGUCGACAGGCUGACAGUACCGAGGGAAGAAGCCCCGGCUAACUCCGUGCCAGCAGCCGCGGUAAUACGGGGGGGGCAAGCGUUGUUCGGAAUUACUGGGCGUAAAGGGUUCGUAGGUGGCCAACUAAGUCAGACGUGAAAUCCCUCAGCUUAACUGGGGAACUGCGUCUGAUACUGGUUGGCUUGAGUGCAGGAGAGGAACGCGGAAUUCCAGGUGUAGCGGUGAAAUGCGUAGAUAUCUGGAGGAACACCGGUGGCGAAGGCGGCGUUCUGGACUGCAACUGACACUGAGGAACGAAAGCCAGGGGAGCAAACGGGAUUAGAUACCCCGGUAGUCCUGGCCCUAAACGAUGAAUGCUUGGUGUGGCGGGUAUCGAUCCCUGCCGUGCCGCAGUUAACGCGUUAAGCAUUCCGCCUGGGGAGUACGGUCGCAAGGCUG